UGGUCCAUCUAGCCCAGUAUCCUGUCUUCUGACAAUGCCAUAUGUUUCAGAGAGAAUGAACAGAUAAGUGAACUUAUCAACUGAUCUAUCCCAUGACAUCCCGUCCCUAGCAUUCAGAGAUUUUGACACACCCGGAGCAAGGGAUUGUGUUCCUGACCACCUUGGCUAAUAACCAUCAAUGGACCUGUCCUCCAUGAACUUCAAGGAAAUGCAUAGUUUGUAAUGCAGUUUGGGAUAUAACCGGAUGAAAGGAGCUAUAGAAAGAGGUGGCGGUGGUGCGACCUAGUGGUUAGAACAGGAGUCUGGCCUACUGGUUGCAGAAGAAUCAACAGGUAGCGCUGGAGAAAAGCCAAUGUGGUUGGAAUCUAGGAGUUCUGAGGAAGCUCCUCCAGUUCAGCCAUUGUGGUCUCAAGAGCUACACCUUACCCCCCUGCAGAUCAUUCUACUAAAGGCAAUAGGAUUGCUCAUGGAAUAAGCUGGUAUUCAGCGUGAGUAAGCCACACUGAGAAGAAGCAGAAAGUGCAUCAGGAAACUGACUGAGCUUUCUUUAGCGUGGGAAUGAAAACACAUGUGGGACCUAUGGGCACUUUUGGCCUUGGUUUACCUGCCUGUGCUCUUGAGAUGUGUCAUCCAGAAGAAUCAUUUGAAAUGAGAUCACAAGGACUUUCAUUCGCAGACGAACAGUACAAAUGAGUUUCUAUUUCUACCUCAGAGAGCAGUUUGGAGCUAGCCAAGUGGUUGAGUAGCUAGGAGCUUUGCAUUGGUUCAGUUCCCAGCUUCUUGCUCUAGAAUGCCCCUGGAUUUGAGUCUGCAUAAGCACGGCCCAAGCAGAAGACAAAAAAUGAACAGCUGGAGCUUGGCAGGACAAAGAGGGGUCAGUGCAGAAAGGGAGUCGCCUAGAUCUAUGACACACAAGUUGUGGCUUUAGAGCCACAUAUGGUUACUCUGGGCUCUCGGACAGUUACUCAAAUAGAGUCCACAGCCUUCCUGAGGUAUGGUAGCAACGGGAUUCGAGCUCCUGGGCAGGGCUGUUUCAGACAACAGGCCUUGGAGGCCCGGUGCUGCUGGGGGUCACCAUUUCAGAUGGGCAGGCAAGCAGAAGUGCAGCAGCAAGAGGAGUGGAUGGACCAGGGCGAGGGGGAUCCUCAGGAGCAGCUGGCGCAUAUCAUUGGCAGUUAAUAAAUAUAGAACAAGAAUGAUUUAGCAGCAGUAGCAGCUGUGCUGAUUGGCUUAGGAAAAGUCCAAACUGCGUAGCUGAGGAGCAUCAUUCUGACCAGAAGGGGGUUUGGGAGGAAAAAAGGUGAUCCUGGGAGAAAGAAAUAAUAGAGGUGGCUAGACAGCUGAGGAGAACUAUCCUGUGCAAAGAAAGGCUGGAAGCCUGAUGGGAGUGAUCAAACACAUGGCUCACCAGGGCUAAAAGUUUAACAUGCACUACAUAUUAGAGCCCAUGGUUGUCCAUUGCAUUGGUUUGCUGCUGGGAUACCUCUGAUCAUUCAAGUAGUGAAGAAAAAGUGUCACCUGUAUCUCUCCUCCCACAGAGUCAGAGAGCCACAAAUAAAUCACCCCUCAACAGCUUCACAUUGUGCUCUAAUAUGCUACAUUGUGAUGUUGUGCAAUAUCUGGGCAGGGCAAAGUUGAGCAGCAAUGAGGCAACGUUAAGACACACGCUCUGCGGCAUAGUUGUGCCAUGAUUAUUCUGUGGCUGUCUGAAAUUCUAUUUGGUGGCUCUUCAUCACCCCUGCUAGGACAUCACCAUUUUUCUAACCCAGGCUGUCUGGAGGGAACUGUGGAGAUAUCCAAAGCAAUAUUUGUGUCUCUGCCCCGACAAUGCACAUGGCUAUACACCUGAGUGUCUGGGCCAAAUUCCAUUUAAAACAACAUUCUGCUUUAAAUCCCUCUUGCAAGUGCAGCUGAAUAUUGUAUUCUUCAAGUCAAUGGAGAAACAGAGUUACACCAGUUGAAAAUUUAGCCCAUGUGGUAUUGAUGUGCACUGUUGCCAUAUUCCACACCAGAGGUGGUUGCAUUUCAAUAGUGGGUAAGCUCUUUAGGGCAGGAUCCAUCUCUUUGUUGUAUGUACAGCGCCUAGCACAAUAAAGCCCUGAUCCAGGCUUUGGAGCCUUAGGAGUUACCCCAAUAUAAAUAAAUAAUAAUAGUCUCUUUACCUGCAGCUCAUGGUUAGCCGAAUCAUGUUUCCUUUCUCCACUAUCUCAUGAGAAGUGAAAAUAAAUUCAAAGGUUAAAACCAUUUACCAGAUGUUAACUGGAAUCAUUUUACAUAUGCACAUGGUAUAACACAUUCUGCAGAGAAUCAGUAGAAAUGACUUGAGCAUGCUGCAGCUGAGGAGCAUUGAAAAAAUGAAUACAGAUGCUUGUCACCAGAGAACAAAAAUAACUUUUCAGUAGAAUACUUGAGGUUUAAAAAGUUUCACAAACUGUCAAGCCUCUUAUUUUGGGUACGUCCCAGUCCUGUCUGUUAUUAAAAGCUGCCAUAUGGCAGUAGAGAUGGAAGGGUUUUUGUUUCACUUAAGGGGAAUAAUACAUUAGUGACAGGUUUCUUGGAGCGUAGUGGUGGUGUGUGCAGCUAUGAAAUUCUGAUGCCUUUGUCUCGAAACAGCACGUUACAUUUCUAAGACUCUGCCUGUGUGCGUAGGCAACCAUCAUUGUGCGUUCACAGUUCUGGAGCCUCUGCAGAGGAGACACAUGCUAUGCUGUCUCGUGCUCCUUGUGGAAAAAGUGCUGUAGGUUUAUGGGAUGAGACCAAUAAGUCUCUAUAAAACUUGGUCUAAAAUCCUAUCAAUUUUAAUAUAGAAUGUCUUAGUGUACGUUUAAAAAACUUACAUAAUAGAAUUUCAGAGAGAAUUGUAUCCCCACUGUGCAAUCUUUUAGGUUGGUUUGAAAAUCCAGAAGGGAGAUCAUCGAUAUCAUAAUUUAACCAUGCUCAGUGCUGUAUAAAUUAAGCUUUGAAUUAAAUAGGUACAGAAUGGGAAUAAGUGGGGCAUACACUUUUAACAGCACCAUAUUAUGUAUAUCCUUCCAUCUGGCUAAGCGAAGAAUUAAAGAUUUCUCUCGAAAGGUGUCGAUCACGCAAAGUGAUUAGAAGUCAGCGGUAAAUGUAGUGCUGUGAGUGCUAUUUUGCAAUGGAAAUGACUUCUUCGUGGAUCUGUAAGCAGCAUAUUGAAUGCUGAGGUUUUUGUUUGUAGGAUUGUAGCCAGAUUCAAUGAAUGAAACCCUGACUAUUUCAGAACAAAACUCAUUUUUAUGAUGGUAGCAUCUAGAAGCCCCAACCAAGAGCAGUGCUCCAUUGUGCUAGACGAUGUUCAAAACGCAUAGUGAGAGACUGCUGAUGACCUCAGAGCUUACAAUCAAAAUAGACAAGACAGACAAAUGGUAGGGAAAAGUAACAUUAUUACCCCAUUCACGGGGCGCUCUACUCACCCCUAGAGCACCUCCUUGUGGCCAGGGCUGGGGAUUAGCUCUGUCAGUCCAACACGUCUUCCUGCAGGUGCUCACACUGUCUUGCUAUCAAAUCUCAACUGCUCCCUCUUCAUGGCUUGGUCCUCCAGCCACCUCACUGGAGUUUUCCCCCUUCCAGAGGUUUGUGUUCUAAAAUCUCUCUGCACUCACUGUCCCAGGUAGUCUUCCAAUUCACUGCCUCUCAAUGGUGCCACUUUCCCAGGGGCUGAUAGAAAAGAUGGUGGGCCUGGGUUCCCCUGUGUUCCUGCCCAGGGACCCUACAACCAGCAGCUAAGGUCUGCGGUGUCCCAUGCCUGGACUAUGUUUCCUCCACCAUCCUCCAGUUUUGUCCUUCCCCUCCAGGCCAAAGUCCCCUUCUUCCUUAGCCUCAGAAAGAGUGACUGAAAACCUCCUUGUUUCAUCCCCUUGGCUACUUGGCUUUAAAUGAGCCCUGGCUUUUCCUGCUCAGGUAGGGUGACCAGACAGCAAAAGACCAAAACAAAUUGGGACUGUCCCUAUAAAAUCGGGACAUCUGGUCGCCCAGAUGAGCUUCAUCCUUUAGUUCAAGGGUCGGCAACCUUUCAGAAGCCGUGUGCCGAGUCUUCAUUUAUUCACUCUAAUUUAAGGUUUCGC